rnacentral:rRNA from 1 species
UACGAAGGGGGGCUAGCGUUGCUCGGAAUCACUGGGCGUAAAGCGCACGUAGGCGGCUUCUUAAGUCAGGGGUGAAAGCCUGGAGCUCAACUCCAGAACUGCCUUUGAUACUGAGGAGCUUGAGUCCGGGAGAGGUGAGUGGAACUGCGAGUGUAGAGGUGAAAUUCGUAGAUAUUCGCAAGAACACCAGUGGCGAAGGCGGCUCACUGGCCCGAUACUGACGCUGAGGCACGAAAGCGUGGG